CUUUUCUCCAUGGUGAUCUUGACGAGGAAGUUUAUACGGAGCAACCACCUGGUUUUGUUGCUCAGGGGGAGUGUAGUGGUUGUGUAUGCAGAUUGCGCAGGUCACUAUAUGGUUUGAAACAGUCCCUUCGAGCAUGGUUUGGUCAGUUCAACACAAUUAUUCAGGAGUUCGGCAUGACUCGUAGUGAGGCUGAUAACUCUGUGAUUUAUCAACAUUCUGCUCCGAAUCUAUGUAUUUAUCUAGUGGUUUAUGUUGAUGAUAUUGUUAUUAUUGGCAACGAUCGGGAUGGUAUUACUAAUCUGAAGCAACAUCUUUCAGCACUUCCAAACUAAGGAUUUGGGCAGACUUAAGUAUUUUCUAGGUAUUGAGGUCGCUCAGUCUAGCUCAAGUAUUGUUAUUUCACAGCGGAAGUAUGCCUUACACAUUCUUGAGGAGACUGGAAUGAUGAGUUGCAGACCUAUUGACUCUCAUGUGGAUCCGAAUGCCAAGCUUCUACCUGGAUAGGGGGAGCCUCUUAGAGACCCUACGAGAUAUAGGAGGUUGGUUGGAAAAUUGAAUUAUCUCAUUCGAAUGCCAAGCUUCUGCCUGGACAAGGGGAGCCUCUUAGAGAUCCUACGAGAUAUAGGAGGUUGGUUGGAAAAUUGAAUUACCUUAUAGUGACUAGACCUGACAUUUCUUUUCCGGUGAGUGUUGUAAGUUAGUUUAUGGAUUCUCCCUGUGAUAGUCACUGGGAUGCAGUUGUUCGUAUUCUUCGGUAUAUAAAGUCAGCUCCAGGCAAAGGAUUACUGUUCGAGGAUCGAGGCCACGAGCAGAUUGUUGGGUACACCGAUGUUGAUGGGCUGAAUCACCUUCUGAUAGACGAUCUACAUCUGGAUAUUGUGUUCUAGUAGGAGGUAAUUUGGUCUCGUAGAAGAGCAAGAAACAAAAUGUAGUUGCUCGUUCUAGCGCCGAAAAGGAAUAUCGGGCCAUGGCUAUGGCAACGUGUGAGUUUGGGUCAAGGAGUUGCUGAAGGAGUUAAAGUUCGGAUAAAUCGACAGGAUGGAACUACUGUGUGAUAACCAAGCUGCUUUUCAUAUUGCGUCAAAUCCGGUGUUCCAUGAGAUGACUAAACACAUUGAGAUCGACUGUCACUUUGUUAGAGAAUAAAUACUUUCAGGAGAUAUUGUUACAAAGUUUGUAAAGUCGAAUGAUCACCUAGCAGAUAUUUUCAAUAAAUCUCUUACUGGUUCUCGUAUCAGUUGCAUGUGCAAGCUCGGUACAUAUGAUGUGUAUGCACCGGCUUGAGGGGGAGUGUUAAAUAUGUAGUCUUGUCCCAUAUUUGAAUAGGAGUAGAAUAUCCUUGUAUAGUGUAGCUAUAAAUAAGGACCUCUUGUAUUGUAUUGAACACACAAUAUAUUAAUACAUAUCAUAUUUUCUCCCAUUCCUUCUCACAUACAUUUUAGCCAUUUAGUUCAUGAGAAAAUUUAGUUCAGAUUCACAAAUUUAAUGUUUUAGUCCUUUAUGCUAUGUACCUUUUGUUAAUUCAAAUAUUCAUAUUGUAUGUGCUCACUCUGACGACCUUAACAAAGAAUUAGUUUACUACAAAAGGUCUAUUCACCACAUUACGUGAGAAGGUAGACACGAAGCAAGG
rnacentral:lncRNA from 1 species